rnacentral:rRNA from 1 species
UGGGGAAUUUUGGACAAUGGGCGAAAGCCUGAUCCAGCAAUGCCGCGUGUGUGAAGAAGGCCUUCGGGUUGUAAAGCACUUUUGUCCGGAAAGAAAUCCUUGGCUCUAAUACAGUCGGGGGACGACGGUACCGGAAGAAUAAGCACCGGCCAACUACGUGCCAGCAGCCGCGGUAAUACGUAGGGUGCAAGCGUUAAUCGGAAUUACUGGGCGUAAAGCGUGCGCAGGCGGUUUGCUAAGACCGAUGUGAAAUCCCCGGGCUCAACCUGGGAACUGCAUUGGUGACUGGCAGGCUAGAGUAUGGCAGAGGGGGGUAGAAUUCCACGUGUAGCAGUGAAAUGCGUAGAGAUGUGGAGGAAUACCGAUGGCGAAGGCAGCCCCCUGGGCCAAUACUGACGCUCAUGCACGAAAGCGUGGGGAGCAAACAGGAUUAGAUACCCUGGUAGUCCACGCCCUAAACGAUGUCAACUAGUUGUUGGGGAUUCAUUUCCUUAGUAACGUAGCUAACGCGUGAAGUUGACCGCCUGGGGAGUACGGUCGCAAGAUUAAAACUCAAAGGAAUUGACGGGGUCAUAGCUGUUUCCU